rnacentral:rRNA from 1 species
UACGGGGGGGGGUAAGCGUUGUUCGGAAUUACUGGGCGUAAAGGGCUCGUAGGCGGCCAACUAAGUCAUACGUGAAAUCCCUCAGCUUAACUGGGGAACUGCGUGUGAUACUGGAUGGCUUGGAUUUGGGAGAGGGAUGCGGAAUUCCAGGUGUAGCGGUGAAAUGCGUAGAUAUCUGGAGGAACACCGGUGGCGAAGGCGGAUCUCUGGGCCAUUACUGACGCUGAGGAGCGAAAGCGUGGGGAGCGAACAGG